GGAACCAGAUUGUGUAAAUCGCUCAUGUCUUACCAGGAUAUCUUUAAAUCGUUUGCUACAUCUCGAGUUGUGAGCGGAUAAGUCGUAAAUCGCCCAGGCUGUGAACGAUUUAGGUUGCAAGUCGCAGAAGGCUUGAUCGGAGUUCUCCUUCAUCGCUUGACAAAUCGCACAAGUUGUGACCGGAGAUUGGUAAAUCACUCAGGCUAAAUCGCUCAAGGUCGUGACCGGAGGUUGGUAAAUCGGACAGAGCUUAACCGGUUUUCUCAGGUGCAAGCUGCAAACUGUGGAGGAGACACUUCGCUAGGCCAGUGUCAACCUCAGGAUUACAAGCAAACAGUUCAAGGGUGUCUAAGAGCAAAGAACAUUCGGGCAUGUUAUCCUAGUAAAAUUGGUGAAUAAUAUCAAGAACGCGUGGAAAACAACACAGACUCUCGAGAAGCCUUGGAUCAUUAUCAAAUUGCUGAAUGAGAAACAUGGCUGAUAAAGUGUCCAUAUUAAGCUGUUGGUAACCCACUGAUUGCAAUAAAAACCCAAGAACCGAAAAUCCAGAAAGAUUAAGCAUCUGUUGUGGAUUAGGCAGGUUCUCAUCUAGAAUAGCGGUGAUAAGCUCAAUGAUUUCAGCAGUUAAGCGCUCUUUGUUAUAGGUGUAAGCAAAUUGUAUCCAAGUUGUUGACUGUCAUUCUCAAAGAUGCCAGGUUUAAGAAGAUUAUUUGGCUUCACAGAUCUAAUAUAGUGAGAUUCUGUGGAAUUUAGAGUCUCCAUUAAUUGCUGAAGUUGUAGCUUGAAGC